AACGAACGCUGGCGGCAGGCUUAGCACAUGCAAGUCGAACGCCCCGCAAGGGGAGUGGCAGACGGGUGAGUAACGCGUGGGAACAUACCCUUUUCUACGGAAUAGCUCUGGGAAACUGGAAUUAAUACCGUAUACGCCCUACGGGGGAAAGAUUUAUCGGGGAAGGAUUGGCCCGCGUUGGAUUAGCUAGUUGGUGGGGUAAAGGCCUACCAAGGCGACGAUCCAUGGCUGGUCUGAGAGGAUGAUCAGCCACAUUGGGACUGAGACACGGCCCAAACUCCUACGGGAGGCAGCAGUGGGGAAUAUUGGACAAUGGGCGCAAGCCUGAUCCAGCCAUGCCGCGUGAGUGAUGAAGGCCUUAGGGUUGUAAAGCUCUUUCACCGAUGAAGAUAAUGACGGUAGUCGGAGAAGAAGCCCCGGCUAACUUCGUGCCAGCCGCCGCGGUAAGAC
rnacentral:rRNA from 1 species